UACGUAGGGCGCAAGCGUUGUCCGGAAUUAUUGGGCGUAAAGAGCUCGUAGGCGGUCUGUCGCGUCCGUUGUGAAAACUCGAGGCUCAACCUCGGGCUUGCAGUGGAUACGGGCAGACUAGAGUGCGGUAGGGGAGACUGGAAUUCCUGGUGUAGCGGUGGAAUGCGCAGAUAUCAGGAGGAACACCGGUGGCGAAGGCGGGAUCCUGGGCCAGUACUGACGCUGAGGAGCGAAAGCUAGGGGAGCGAACAGG
rnacentral:rRNA from 1 species